rnacentral:rRNA from 1 species
GAUGAACGCUGGCGGCGUGCUUAACACAUGCAAGUCGAACGGAAAGGCUCCUGCUUGCAGGGGUACUCGAGUGGCGAACGGGUGAGUAACACGUGGGUGAUCUGCCCUGCACUUCGGGAUAAGCCUGGGAAACUGGGUCUAAUACCGGAUAGGACGAUGGUUUGGAUGCCAUUGUGGAAAGUUUUUUCGGUGUGGGCUGAGCUCGCGGCCUAUCAGCUUGUUGGUGGGGUAAUGGCCUACCAAGGCGUCGACGGGUAGCCGGCCUGGGAGGGUGUACGGCCACAAUAGGACUGAGAUACGGCGCAGACGCGUACGGGAGGCAGCGGUGGGGAGUAUUGCACAAUGGGCGCGAGCCUGAUACGGAGGCGCCGCGUGGGGGAUGACGGCCUUCGGGUUGUAAACUCCUUUCGCUAGGGACGAAGCGCAAGUGACGGUACCUGGAGAAGAAGCACCGGCUAACUACGUG